rnacentral:rRNA from 1 species
GGAGGGUGCAAGCGUUAAUCGGAAUUACUGGGCGUAAAGCGCACGCAGGCGGUCUGUCAAGUCGGAUGUGAAAUCCCCGGGCUUAACCUGGGAACUGCAUUCGAAACUGGCAGGCUAGAGUCUUGUAGAGGGGGGUAGAAUUCCAGGUGUAGCGGUGAAAUGCGUAGAGAUCUGGAGGAAUACCGGUGGCGAAGGCGGCCCCCUGGACAAAGACUGACGCUCAGGUGCGAAAGCGUGGGGAGCAAACAGGAUUAGAUACCCUGGUAGUCCACGCCGUAAACGAUGUCGACUUGGAGGUUGUUCCCUUGAGGAGUGGCUUCCGGAGCUAACGCGUUAAGUCGACCGCCUGGGGAGUACGGCCGCAAGGUUAAAACUCAAAUGAAUUGACGGGGGCCCGCACAAGCGGUGGAGCAUGUGGUUUAAUUCNAUGCANCGCGAAGAACCUUACCUACUCUUGACAUCCANAGAACUUANCAGAGAUGCUUUGGUGCCUUCGGGAACUCUGAGACAGGUGC